CACAGAUGGUGUUAAAGCACUCCGUACCAGUGAUAGUGGUCCAAAGCCACUGCUCCUGUGUUGCAGGAAGUGCUGUGUGCAAUCAUCUGGUAGCCCUUCUUUACCAGACUGCGCACCACUCUCAAUGAAACAUUCCUGCUGCAACACCAGUUCACAGCUGCACAGACACAGAACAGCAUUGGCACGAGCCAAGGACACUUGGUGUUGAAGCCAGGUCCGGUUGGUGGGAUAGAGUUCUGUCAACCUACUAACUCGUGUGCUGAUGGAAUAAGAAGUUCUCUCUACAAAGCACUCAAUGGAUACAUGCCUGACAUGGACCUUCUCCGCGUCUCAGAACCGUAUGGCAACUUUUCUCCACUUACUGCCCCUCUUGUGACAACAAUGGAAAUGUCAUCUGACCUGCUCCUGGUUGAGUCUGCCUUUGGGCCAGUGUAAGCCGGCAGUGUUCUGUCCUAUCAGCUUCCACAGCCAAAGACCCGUGAAAUUGUGAAGAUUGCCGAUGUCACCCUGUUACUCAUUGCGUAAUUAAAGCCAAUACAAGCUCCACACAAACUGAUAUUCACUACAACACAAAUGAUUGAUACAUGUCGUAGAUAAACAAAUUAUUAUUUUUCUGCUAGCAAAUAAACACAUGUACAUUUACACUGGCUUUGCCCAUGCUCUGGACCGGAUCAGAGAUGCCACAGUCCAUAGGCAGCGCACCUUGUUCUUCAUCCCCCUCAGUCGGAGCAGGAGGUUGCAGUCAUCUUCCCCAAACACCAGGUCUCUUUUGAAUGUGCCAGUUCCACGCGAAGACAGUAGGAACAACACCUCUUUUUAGGUAUUGUCGCCCCCCAAUUUCCCCCCAACAAAGUCACUUUCGACUAAAUGUGUACUACACUCCUUUGUGUGUUUGGUGACAGCAAAGUUGUCAUGACGUACUGCCACCAACCACCUUUAUCUGAGCUCUACAUCGACCGGGAAACGAUGGAAGCUCACAAUAUCAUUACAUUUGGAAGAAACUAAACACAGAGGCACUGAACAAUGUUCAUUAGCACCUACUUCGCGGGGCUGUAAUUUAAACAUAUCCAUUGCGAACUAUUUCAGUCAGAAAUGCAUCCGCGAUAGCUAGUAAGCUAAUGAUAAAAACAAUAGCAGAACUCGCUCCGGAAGUCAUCAACCCGAUCGGAAGUAAUUUAGAACGUUGGAGGCUGUAUAAUGGAUAGAGCCUAUUGUGCUGCUAUUUUUAUUGAUUUGGCCAAAGCUUUUGUUACGGUAGACCAUUCCAUUCUCGUGGGCCGGCUUAGGAGUAUUGGUGUCGUUGAGGGGUCUUUGGCCUGGUUUGCUAACUACCUCUCUCAAAGAGUGCAGUGUAUAAAGUCAGAAAAUCUGCUGUCUCAGCCACUGCCUGU